rnacentral:lncRNA from 1 species
UUCUAUCAAUGGAACUUCCGAUCCUAAUCAAUUUGCCUUGUUCUUUUAUUUUUCAGAUAAAAAUAUUGAUAUGAAACUGAACAAGAAAGAAGAUAAACUAGCAAAGCAAUCAGAUAAACUUGUCCUCCCCACCUCCUUGCGAACCAAAAGUGGUUAAUAAAUCGAGAGAUAUUUUCACAUCUGAAGGAGAAGCAGUCUGGAAAAUGGAUGAAUUCAGAGGCUCCUGGGCAUCCUUUUAAUGAGGAAAUUUUCAAUAAUGAAAUGGAUCACUCGAUGAUGGACGGACACAAUCCUCUGUCCCCGCCUCCUCUAACACCACCACCAACCCCUCCGCUCAUGGACUCUCAUGAACGAUACGCCUGAAAGUUUGAAAGAUACUCAAGAAAAAACCAAAGGAAAACACAAGUGUCGGCAGAAAAUACAAAAAAAUCCAGAGCGAGAAAACAUUGUGUCUCUACAUAAAGUAAUAGCAAAAGUGUGGGAACCCAUCCCUUUGGACAAUUGCAAUCCGAAUCAGACUUUGGUAAAACGAAGAGUAUACAAGUUGGAUGCAAGUGAUCCGUCCAGUCCGGUUAGUAUCACUUUUCUGAAUUACUUUUCCAUUUUCCUCUCUCUGACUUAGUCUGCGUUAAUUGUAAUACCUUUAGGACUGUGAUGCAAAUGACUUGGGUGCCUUUUUUAUAGCUUCUAAAGCAGUGGCGUGUUGUACUUUGCAAUGCAUCGAUUGAUCUGCCAUUUAAACCUAUGGAAAAGAAUCGAUAAACAGGGUGUUCGUAACGAACAUCUUAAUCGAUUCUUUACUAUAGCUUCAAAUGGGGAAAUAUUGUUAAUUGAUUGUUCAUGCCUUGCCGCUGUUCUACAGGCCAUUUUCUAGGAGCAAAAAAUAACUUGAAAAAUUGGGUUUGGUUCAUCUGUGGAUUGACUGAUUAUAGCGCUUGAUAGAGGCGCAGAUGGCAAUAAAGAAAAAAAAAACCUUAAAACCGACAGACUAGCUACAAUACAGAGUCAAGAGUAUGAUUAGAUGUAUCACGUAAUAUUGAAGGCGUCAGAUGUACACGUAAAAUACUGGCCUCGUCAGAGUGUUAUAAAUACAAAAAUCAACUUAAUUUCGCAUUUUUCGGGCCAAAAUGUUCAGUUAAGCGGGCAAAGCUCUUUAACGGCUCAACAAAACCCUUUAACACCAUAUAUGAAUCGAUGCGUAAUGGAUUCCCAUUGUGACUUUUUGCAAUUAGAACUUUCAAAAGUUUCUCUGUAAAAAGUUAUUUGCUCUGCAAAAUUUUGAAGGAUCGGGAGCAUCGAUGUAUCGAUCAAUCGAAUUCUUCUAACUUGAUCUCUCAUGAAAUAUCGAUCAAUCGAUAGUAAUCGAUUUCAAUUCGACCAAUGACUGGUUCCAUGCCGGUCCAUCGUCGUUCCUCUUCGUUGUUUCGUUUCUCGUUCGUUUUGUUCAAAACAAUAACAAAAAGUCACGAUAAAUGAAAGAUAAAUGCCGAUGUAAGCUUGCUUCAAAGUGAUUAUGGAUGCUUUUAAAAUUUAUUAACGAGGUCAACUGAAUAAUCUGCUGCAGACAGACCAAAUUACCCUAAAUGAUGAACCAAAGAGAAACAAAGUAGAAUUCUUCUCAUGAAAACUUUCAAGGUAAGUUGUAAACAAAUAUCUUAGAGGAACUCCUAUUUAUUUCAUCAGUUAUUCUUAUCUCGCUAGGUACUUACUAAGUAUUUAUCGCUAAAUUAAUUCAAAUAUCAUUGCCAUGUGAUAUUGUCUAAUGGGUACCUUCGAAGUUCCUGGUUUGCAAAGAUACCUACAGCUUCGGCGGUAAAUGUCGAUCGGAAGAUCAUAGCCAACUGUAUUCAGCCCAAUGUAUUGAAAUUGGGAUUAAGAAGAUCAGAAAUACAUUCUAUGUGCACAUCUUUCAAUCUAAUUUGGUUCAUCAAACCAACUAGAUACACCCAGUCAUGGUUGCAUCAUGUAUUCUGUGUAACAUUACUUUGCUGGGCCUCUGUAGGGUGCCCUUGCUCCAAGAUGAAGGGGAGGAGGAUGAAAACACGAAACACAAAAAUAUAAGGGAUGAACUCUGCACUUCAACGUGUGAAAAGUGGAGGAGCUGGCUGAGGCCUGGCCUCCAAGAGGUACAAUCAAACUCUAUCCGCUGCUGAACUGUAACUAACUCCAAAACUAGACUAGUGUCCGGAAGAAAAUGAGGAAGAGAAAGUUCUGGUGGUUGAGGGUGACAGGCCGGGCUCCGCGCACGGGUGAUUAGAUAGAAAGUGCAAUGUGCAAAGUCUGGUGAUGUGACGUAUGAAGAGAAAAAAUGCGGAUAGGUAUAUCAAUAGAUAGAGAAAGAAUGCAUAGGUAUAGAGAUAUGGCAGGAACACAACAUCUGUUUUAGUGAUUAUAUUUUUUAUAUUUCAGAUACAGAUUGAACGUGAACGCAUUUCCGUAUGUCUCGCUUGAUUUUUGCAGCCCAAAAGGAAGUGUGACUUGGUUUAAACUCAUCUAUUCAUAGGAAAAUUCUUUACUUCUACUUGAAAGUUGCGUUGAGCGAGGUAAUGAGUAUUUAAAUCAUUCUUUACUACUGAUGGUGAAACUACAAUAACUUGGAUCUCCACUGAUGUUUCUCAAAAUUUACUAUCUUCCUUUAUCUAUUGGAUGUAUUUAUGCUAAAUGGAACUUUGUGCAAGUGGAAAGAUAGAGUGUGCUCGUGGAAGCUGAAUAAGAAACAAUUUAAAAGUGGACAUACUUCCUUUUGAGAAAAUGGAAAAGCAGGAUUUGACAUUAAAUCAAAAGGAACUGAGCGCUAACUAACGAGCACACCCCAUCUUUUCACUUGCACAUAGUUCCAUUUAGUAUAAAUACGUCUUAUUAGUUGAAUAUAGACUGAUUUAGUAGCUAGACGUCAUUCUUGCAAAUGGUUCAAACCAAAACAAUGGAUGAUAACCUCAUACUUAAAUUCUGUGUGAGAUUAGUGUGUUAAGUAGUUGAUUAAAAUUGUGUCAUCAACAAGUCAUAAAUCCAUUUGGUCACAAGAAAACCAGAUGCACUCUCACCACAGUGGGACUACGACCAGGUUAUGCGUCUGUUUACGAUUGAACCAUCGAAACUGCGAUGAUUUAGUCAUUAAAGCAGUCUAUUAUCAGGGAUUUUUUUAUAAAAUUUUCAGAGGUCAUUUUUAAAAAUGCAAAGAGAGCUCAUAAAGAAUUCUGUUCAAUGACAGUGAUAGUUGGUCCUUCAAUAAAGUUGGUAAAAUGUAACAGAAAUGGUGCUGCAUCGCAAAUAGAGAUUCUUAGCUUAGAUUUUUCGCUACUGAUACACUUCCGUCUAUUUUUCUUCCCUGUGUGAAGGACAUUCUAUGAAAAGUUGAAGCUAUGAUGUUGAUUUGGUUUCCUUUUAAAACAUGUAGUGAAUUUGAAUCACUGCAAUCAAGGUACACGCUUUUGCUGUUUCUACAUGGAUACGCUGCUUAUCGACAAUGAAACUCUGAAAUCAUCAAUUUUUUCUGGUGUUUUAAAAUCCCAGCUCCCAUUUAUUGUUUUUGAAAAAGAACAAAUCAUUAUCAUUCCUUGGAAGUUAUUACAGGAUCUUCAACA